UAGGGAAUCUUCCACAAUGGACGCAAGUCUGAUGGAGCAACGCCGCGUGAGUGAAGAAGGUUUUCGGAUCGUAAAGCUCUGUUGUUGGUGAAGAAGGAUAGAGGCAGUAACUGGUCUUUAUUUGACGGUAAUCAACCAGAAAGUCACGGCUAACUACGUGCCAGCAGCCGCGGUAAUACGUAGGUGGCAAGCGUUGUCCGGAUUUAUUGGGCGUAAAGCGAGCGCAGGCGGAAUGAUAAGUCUGAUGUGAAAGCCCACGGCUCAACCGUGGAACUGCAUCGGAAACUGUCAUUCUUGAGUGCAGAAGAGGAGAGUGGAAUUCCAUGUGUAGCGGUGGAAUGCGUAGAUAUAUGGAAGAACACCAGUGGCGAAGGCGGCUCUCUGGUCUGCAACUGACGCUGAGGCUUGAAAGCAUGGGUAGCGAACAGG
rnacentral:rRNA from 1 species